rnacentral:rRNA from 1 species
AUGAGCAACAGAACAGUACUGGGGAAGUUUUGGGUGAUUCUAGUCUCACCAACCAACAGGAAACUGACAUUACAACGAAGAAUUGUAGUGGUGACGAGAUUCCUGAAUCUUGUAAUACAGAGUCAAUUUGGGUUGAGGGACUCGUGCCAGGAAUCGAUUUCUGUAACCAUAGUAAGAGUCCAAAAUAUAAAGGCUCUGGCGACAUGGGAAGUUGAUUCGGUGGGAAAUUUAACAGGAAUUCCUGCUUCAAUGUACCUCAUGCUGGUGCAAGCUGGUAAAAGCUCUGUUGAGACUGGGACAGAGAUCUACAUAAAUUAUGGCAACAAAGGAAAUGAGGAAUUGCUGUACCUAUAUGGAUUUGUGGUUGACAAUAAUCCAGAUGAUUAUCUCAUGGUUCAUUAUCCAAUAGAAGCUCUUAGACAGCUUCAGUCUGCUGACGUUAAGAUGAAGCUAAUUGAGAUGCAGAAGGCUGAAUUGAGAUGUCUUCUACCUACAAGUUUGCUUGAUAGGGGAUUUUUCGGAACCAGUACCAGUUCUGGUGAAGAUGAUGAUAACAAGAAAAAGCAUUUUUCUAGUUACAGUUGGAGCGGUCAACGCAAAGUUCCAUCAUAUCUCCAAAAAAAUGUUUUCCCUCAAGAAUUUUUAAGUACUCUUCGCACAAUUGCCAUGCAAGAACAUGAACUUGAACAGGUUGCUUCCCUGCUUGGAGAGGUUGGGUCUACUGAGGAUGGAGAACCAUCUGAUGCAGAGAUCAAAAGUGCUAUAUGGGAGGUGUGCGGUGAUAAUGGAGCACUAGGAUUGCUUGUGGAUCUUCUUAGGGUGAAAAUGGCUGAACUUGAAGAAGGCACUGGAACAGAAGCAUCUGACAGUCAACUGCUGGAGAAAUUUGAUUCAAAUGAUCCAGACGACUCCUCAAGUGCAACCAUUGAGAGCACCGAAGCGACGAAGUCGAGAGUGAACAGAAGGUCGUGUAUAGUGUACCGAAGAGGGCAGAAGCAGCUGACGAGGAUGUUCCUCAGGGAGGCGGAACGUCUUCUGGAGCUGUCCGCGGAGGAGCAGACCUAA